rnacentral:lncRNA from 1 species
GCGGAUACGCGCGGAGGCAACGGCGACGGCGGCGGCGGCGGCGGGCGCGGGGACAGUUGCAUCGGGGCCGGGCCGGGCUAGCAGGAGCUGGGCGCCUGCAGCGUGGACCCCGUGGACACUCGGCUCGCAGCCGGCCUGCGGCGCUCGGGGACUUGCCUGGCUCCCUUCUCGGGGUUCCCGCGCCCUUCUCCGCCCAGGGCAGCAGCGCGCGGGGCCCCCGGGAGCCGAAGAGCAGGCGGGAACUGGCGGCGGCGCGGGAGGCGCAGGGAGCGGAGGCGGCAGCAGCGGCU